rnacentral:rRNA from 1 species
UGGCGGACGGGUGAGUAAUGCAUAGGUAACGUGCCCCUUAGACUGGGAUAGCCACUGGAAACGGUGAUUAAUACCGGAUACUCCUUCUAUAUUAAUUAUAGUCGGGAAACGUUUUUUCGCUAAGGGAUCGGCCUAUGUUGUAUCAGCUAGUUGGUAAGGUAACGGCUUACCAAGGCUAUGACACAUAGCGGGUCUGAGAGGAUGAUCCGCCACACUGGUACUGAGACACGGACCAGACUCCUACGGGAGGCAGCAGUGGGGAAUAUUGCACAAUGGGGGAAACCCUGAUGCAGCAACGCCGCGUGGAGGAUGACACAUUUCGGUGCGUAAACUCCUUUUAUAUAAGAAGAUAAUGACGGUAUUAUAUGAAUAAGCACCGGCUAACUCCGUGCCAGCAGCCGCGGUAAUACGGAGGGUGCAAGCGUUAUUCGGAAUCACUGGGCGUAAAGGGUGCGUAGGCGGUUUGGAAAGUCAGAUGUGAAAGCCUAUGGCUUAACCAUAGAACUGCAUUUGAAACUUCCAGACUAGAAUACUGAAGGGGCAGAUGGAAUUAGUGGUGUAGGGGUAAAAUCCGUAGAUAUCACUAGGAAUACCGAAAGCGAAAGCGAUCUGCUGGGAAGUUAUUGACGCUGAGGCACGAAAGCGUGGGGAGCAAACGGGAUUAGAUACCCCGGUAGUCCACGCCCUAAACGAUGAAUGCUAGUCGUCGGGAUGCUUGUCAUCUCGGUGAUGCAGUUAACACAUUAA